UAAUCAGGGGGAUAGCCCGGAGAAAUCCGGAUUAACACCGCAUGAAAUCACAGAACGGCAUCGUUCAAUGAUCAAACAUUUAUGGGAUGGAGAUGGGCAUGCGUGUCAUUAGUUAGUUGGCGGGGUAACGGCCCACCAAGACCGCGAUGACUAGGGGAUCUGAGAGGAUGACCCCCCACACUGGUACUGAGACACGGACCAGACUCCUACGGGAGGCAGCAGUAAGGAAUAUUGGUCAAUGGGCGAGAGCCUGAACCAGCCAUGCCGCGUGCAGGAAGACGGCCCUCUGGGUUGUAAACUGCUUUUACUCGGGAAUAAACCUAUCCACGUGUGGAUAGCUGAAUGUACCGAGGGAAUAAGGAUCGGCUAACUCCGUGCCAGCAGCCGCGGUAAUACGGAGGAUCCAAGCGUUAUCCGGAUUUAUUGGGUUUAAAGGGUGCGUAGGCGGCCUGUUAAGUCAGGGGUGAAAGA
rnacentral:rRNA from 1 species